rnacentral:lncRNA from 1 species
UGUUAGAGAAUACAAGGAAUCGAAUGCGUGGUUACUGUUGGAGGAAAUGGGCUUCGCCCGAUUUAGGCCGACAAGUACAUAACAUAAGAGCAAGUUGGGCUGCAAGAUCAACCCUGUUUGGAGGAAUGCCCUCUGCGGAUGAGGAAUUGGACAAAAGUCGGAUGCUAGUUUAAAACUUUUGAUAGAAGGUUUCCCGGUGGCAUUGGUUAGUAGAUCUCCACUUGUAGGAGGUGUUGAUUCAUC